rnacentral:lncRNA from 1 species
AGAAUUUACACUCUGUAUCUUGGCACAUCACUGACAGGCCAUAGAAUGUUAAGAAGAGGAGUGUGCAGCAUGGUGCUGACCCAAAUGUCAUGAACGUCUGUGGGAACACCGCUCUCCACUACGCUGUUUUUUGCCAGAAUAUAUCACUUGCAGCAAAGCUGCUUUCCUGCGACACCAAUAUAGAAGCCAGGAACAAGUGGAUGAGAGUUCUGAAGAGGACUCUUCAAGGAGGU